rnacentral:lncRNA from 1 species
CUGCUUUCUGAUUCUCACUUUAUUAUUCAAGACUAACAGAGAGCUGCCUGGAAUAUUCCAGCACUGUGCUGUUCCUUCUGUCUGGAAUGGCCUGCCUCUAGGCUAUUCUCACCCUCUACCAGUUACUACUCCUCAGCCUCUAAGACUCUGCCAUAAAUCCCUCCAGGAAUCUGCUGUGAGAAUCCUUCCACUCCUCAUGCACCAAUCUUUCCACAUUAAAGUUUGGAUUUUUUCUUUUAUUCUUGCUGUGUUCUCAUAAUACUCUGUGUGUAAUCCCAUCAUUGUUCUUCUCUCUUUACAUUGUACCCUCCCUAGAACUGUCAGCUCCCUGGGGACAGAGGUCACAUUUUAUUCACUAGUGUACUCCUAACAUCAAACACUGCAUAAGCCAAGUAGGUAAAUAAUUGAUGACUAACGUCAAAGAUUCUUUGCUUGGCCAAACUUUAGUCAGGCUUCUGAGUCUUCUGCUAGGUCCAUUUGUAUACUUCCUUGUACAAUCCAGUUUUAGCAAAGAAUCCUGCUAAGUUAGUUUAGUAAGAACGCUUAUCCUUGAUAUCUGGUCAUACUUGGUAUGAGCAGGUUCUUUAUCUUCCAUCAUCCCCAAGGUGAUGUCUGAUCAAGAAUCCCAUUUAGUUGGUUUAGCCAGCAUCCUCUUACUGCCCCUUGGCUAUAAAUUCCCACUUGCCUAUGUUGUAUUCAUGGUUGAACCCAUUCUCUCUCCCCACUGCACUUCCCCACUGCAAUGGUCCCUAUACCUAUUGCAAUGGUCCUGAAUAUUAAAGAAUAUUAUGAAGUAAUUUUUUCUUUAACAGUUAUUGUGCUGUGACUCAGAUAGGAUUAGACUCAUCAUUGGACCCCCAGGACUCUCACCUAGGACACUGAAUGUGUGCCUUUCCUUUGUCUUCUCUCUUGACUGACUGAGGAUUCGCUGGUAACUCAGACUUCUGAACCAUUGUUCCAGACAAACAUUCCUUGAAGCUGGCAAGGACAGAUGUUGAUUCUAAAGAAUCUCACUCUACCGCAGUCUGGAGGGCAGUGGUGCGACCUUGGUUCACUGCAAUCUCUACCUCCUGGGUUCAAGUGAUUUUUGUGCCUCAGCCUCCUGAAUAGCUGGGAUUACAGGUGCACACCACCAUGCCUGGCUAAUUUUUAUGUUUUUAAUAGAGAGGGGGUUUCACCAUGUUGGCCAGGCUGGUCUUGAAUUCCUGACCUCAAGUGAUCCACCCACCUCGGCCUCCCAAAGUGCUAGAAUUACAGGUGUGAGCCACGCACCCAGCCUCAUUCUUAAAGUAAAGUUUUCAAGUACCAGCCUUUAAAAAAAUAUUUUUUGACACAUAUGUGAUAGGUGGAGCCAAGAUGGCCGAAUGGGAACAGCUCUGGUCUACAGCUCCCAGCGUGAGCAACGCAGAAGACGGGUGAUUUCUGCAUUUCCAUCUGAGGUACCGAGUUCAUCUCACUAGGGAGUGCCAGACAGUGGGCACAGGACAGUGGGUGCAGCGCACCGUGUGCCAGCCAAAGCAGGGCGAGGCAUUACCUCACUCGGGAAGUGCAAGGGAUCAGGGAGUUCCCUUUCCUAGUCAAAGAAAGGGGCCACAGACGGCACCUGGAAAAUCGGGUCACUCUCACCCUAAUACUGCACUUUUCUGACCGGCUUAAAAAAAGGCACACCAGGAGACUAUAUCCCACACCUGGCUGGGAGGGUCCUACGCCCACG